UACGUAGGGUGCAAGCGUUAAUCGGAAUUACUGGGCGUAAAGCGUGCGCAGGCGGUUUUGUAAGUCUGUCGUGAAAUCCCCGGGCUCAACCUGGGAAUUGCGGAUGAGACUGCAAGGCUAGAAUCUGGCAGAGGGGGGUAGAAUUCCACGUGUAGCAGUGAAAUGCGUAGAGAUGUGGAGGAACACCGAUGGCGAAGGCAGCCCCCUGGGUCAAGAUUGACGCUCAUGCACGAAAGGCGU
rnacentral:rRNA from 1 species